GUAUGAAGUCGGAAUUGCUAGUAAUGGCAGGUCAGCAUACUGCCGUGAAUACGUUCCCGGGCCUUGUACACACCGCCCGUCACACCAUGAGAGUUGGGAAUACCCGAAGCCUGUGAGCCAACAAACGAGGCAGCAGUCGAAGGUAGAAUCAAUGAUUGGGGUGAAGUCGUAACAAGGUAAC
rnacentral:rRNA from 1 species